ACAUGCCUACAACAUAGCGUUAAUGCAUUGGAUCCCAUUAGAACUCCACAGUUAAGCGCGCUCGGGCUAGAGUAGUACUGGUAUGGGUGAUCUCCCGGGAAGUCCUAGUAUUUUACAUGCC
rnacentral:rRNA from 1 species